rnacentral:misc_RNA from 1 species
GUCAUUUACACCCCUCAAGCCUAGCUUGGAAUUGGGAGGCUGCCCCCGGGGCACCCCCGAAAUGUAUCGGCGACGUGGGAGGUUCCCCUAGCGAAGUGACUUAAAAAUCGCGCUACAUGGGUUCCUGCCCCCGUUGGCCGCUAAACCAACCAACUUUUACGAUUGACCUCGGAUCAGGUAGGGAUACCCGCUGAACUUAA